rnacentral:pre_miRNA from 1 species
GGGGGGAGGCCGGAUCCUGGGCUGUGUCCCUGGUGUCCUCUGCUCCCGGAGCCUGCGCUGUUGGAUUCGCGCUCCCGGCUGCCCAGCCCCCU